rnacentral:rRNA from 1 species
UACAGGGGGGGCAAGCGUUGUUCGGAAUUACUGGGCGUAAAGGGCUCGUAGGUGGCCAACUAAGUCGGACGUGAAAUCCCUCAGCUUAACUGGGGAACUGCGUCCGAUACUGGAUGGCUUGAGUUUGGGAGAGGGAUGCGGAAUUCCAGGUGUAGCGGUGAAAUGCGCAGAUAUCGGGAGGAACACCGGUGGCGAAGGCGGUUCUCUGGGCCUGUACUGACGCUGAGGAGCGAAAGCGUGGGGAGCGAACAGG